CCCCCCCCUUGAUGGGGGUAGUGAGAGCCCGGGGUGAUCAGGGGCUGGCUCUCAGUGCACGCCUCUUGGGGGUGCCUCCCCCCCUGCGAUGGGGUCACUGAGAGCCAGGGGGGAUGUGGGGCUGGCUCUCAGUCCCUGCCUCGUGGGGGGUGCCUCCCUCCCCAUGAUGGGGGUCGUGAGAGCCCGGGGUGAUCAGGGGCUGGCUCUCAGUCCACGCCUCUCGGGGGUUGCCUCCCCCCCGCGAUGGGGUCACUGAGAUCCAGGGGGAAGAGGGGCUGGCUCUCAGUCCCUGCCUCGUUGGGGGUGCCUCCCCCCCCUGCGAUGGCGGUCAUGAGAGCCGGGGGGGAUGAGGGGCUGGCUCUCAGUCCCCGCCUCGCUGGGGGUGCCUCCCCCCCCUGCGAUGGGGACCCUAAGGGCCAGGGGGGAUGUGGGGCUGGCUCUCAGUCCCUGCCUCGUGGGGGGUGCCUCCCCCUCCUGCGAUGGUGGUCCUAAGAGCCAGAGGGGGAAGAGGGGCUGGCUCUCAGUCCCUGCCUCGUGGGGGGUGCCUCCCCCUCCUGCGAUGGUGGUCCUAAGAGCCAGAGGGGGAAGAGGGGCUGGCUCUCAGUCCCUGCCUCGUUGGGGGUGCCUCCCCCCCCUGCGAUGGGGGUCAUGAGAGCCGGGGGGGAUGAGGGGCUGGCUCUCAGUCCCCGCCUCGCGGGGGGUGCCUCCCCCCCCUGCGAUGGGGGCCCUAAGGGCCAGGGGGGAUGUGGGGCUGGCUCUCAGUCCCUGCCUCGUGGGGGGUGCCUCCCCCCCCUGCGAUGGGGGUCCUGAGUCCACAGUCUACAAUACCCCACAGCUCCCAAGAAUUCCCUCACCUGCCUUCUGCCCUUAGGCUCUGGUAGAUUGUAAAUAACCUGCUUUCUUUCUGUUCCCGGGCGGUGUCGAACCCCUGUCGGAGAGUAAAUCCGAAGUAAGGUACCUGCCGUGGGCAGAUUUGAGCUUUCUUCUUGGACACCUAAUACCCACAGUCCUCCAGGCUCCGGUAGAUUGCAAAUGACCUGCUUUCUUUCUGUUCCCGGCGUUUGGACCCCUGUCGGAUAGUAAAUCCCAAGUAAAGUACCUGCCGUGGGCAGAUUUGAGCUUUCUUCUUGGACACCUAAUACCCAGAGUCGUCCAGGUGGGUCCUUAAGGUUCUUAGGAUCCCCGAUGGGGGUCCUAAGCCAGGGGGGGAUGAGGGGCUGGCUCUCAGUCCCGGCUUCGUGGGGGGUGCCUCCCCCCCCGCGAUGGGGGCCCUAAGAGCCACGGGGGAUGUGGGUCUGGCUCUCAGUCCCUGCCUCGUGGGGGGUGCCUCCCCCCCCUUGAUGGGGGUAGUGAGAGCCCGGGGUGAUCAGGGGCUGGCUCUCAGUGCACGCCUCUUGGGGGUGCCUCCCCCCCUGCGAUGGGGUCACUGAGAGCCAGGGGGGAUGUGGGGCUGGCUCUCAGUCCCUGCCUCGUGGGGGGUGCCUCCCCCCCCAUGAUGUUGGUCGUGAGAGCCCGGGGUGAUCAGGGGCUGGCUCUCAGUCCACGCCUCUCGGGGGGUGCCUCCCCCCCUGCGAUGGGGUCACUGAGAUCCAGGGGGAAGAGGGGCUGGCUCUCAGUCCCUGCCUCGUUGGGUGUGCCUCCCCCCCCUGCGAUGGGGGUCAUGAGAGCCGGGGGGGAUGAGGGGCUGGCUCUCAGUCCCCGCCUCGCUGGGGGUGCCUCCCCCCCCUGCGAUGGGGACCCUAAGGGCCAGGGGGGAUGUGGGGCUGGCUCUCAGUCCCUGCCUCGUGGGGGGUGCCUCCCCCUCCUGCGAUGGUGGUCCUAAGAGCCAGAGGGGGAAGAGGGGCUGGCUCUCAGUCCCUGCCUCGUGGGGGGUGCCUCCCCCUCCUGCGAUGGUGGUCCUAAGAGCCAGGGGGGGAAGAGGGGCUGGCUCUCAGUCCCUGCCUCGUGGGGGGUGCCUCCCCCUCCUGCGAUGGUGGUCCUAAGAGCCAGAGGGGGAAGAGGGGCUGGCUCUCAGUCCCUGCCUCGUUGGGGGUGCCUCCCCCCCCUGCGAUGGGGGUCAUGAGAGCCGGGGGGGAUGAGGGGCUGGCUCUCAGUCCCCGCCUCGCGGGGGGUGCCUCCCCCUCCUGCGAUGGGGGCCCUAAGGGCCAGGGGGGAUGUGGGGCUGGCUCUCAGUCCCUGCCUCGUUGGGGGUGCCUCCCCCCCCUGCGAUGGGGGUCAUGAGAGCCGGGGGGGAUGAGGGGCUGGCUCUCAGUCCCCGCCUCGCGGGGGGUGCCUCCCCCCCCUGCGAUGGGGGCCCUAAGGGCCAGGGGGGAUGUGGGGCUGGCUCUCAGUCCCUGCCUCGUGGGGGGUGCCUCCCCCCCCUGCGAUGGGGGUCCUGAGUCCACAGUCUACAAUACCCCACAGCUCCCAAGAAUUCCCUCACCUGCCUUCUGCCCUUAGGCUCUGGUAGAUUGUAAAUAACCUGCUUUCUUUCUGUUCCCGGGCGGUGUCGAACCCCUGUCGGAGAGUAAAUCCGAAGUAAGGUACCUGCCGUGGGCAGAUUUGAGCUUUCUUCUUGGACACCUAAUACCCACAGUCCUCCAGGCUCCGGUAGAUUGCAAAUGACCUGCUUUCUUUCUGUUCCCGGCGUUUGGACCCCUGUCGGAUAGUAAAUCCCAAGUAAAGUACCUGCCGUGGGCAGAUUUGAGCUUUCUUCUUGGACACCUAAUACCCAGAGUCGUCCAGGUGGGUCCUUAAGGUUCUUAGGAUCCCCGAUGGGGGUCCUAAGCCAGGGGGGGAUGAGGGGCUGGCUCUCAGUCCCGGCUUCGUGGGGGGUACCUCCCCCCCCGCGAUGGGGGCC